AGUGAACGCUGGCGGCGUGCCUAACACAUGCAAGUCGAACGCAGUGGCGCACGGGUGCGUAAUAUAUAGUUAAUCUGCUCUACACAGAGGAACAACAGUUGGCAACGACUGCUAAUACAUCAUAUUGUAGGAUGAGACUAUAUCGUAUCAUCUUGUUGGUUAGGUAAUGGCUUACCAAGGCUAUGACGCGGAACUUGUCUGAGAUGAUGAUCAGUGACAUUGGAGCUGAGACACGGUUCAAACGCCUACAGGAAGCAGCAGUAAGGAAUAAUGAGCAAUGGGGGUAACCCUGACGCACCAACGCCGCGUGGAGGAUGAGAAGUCUCGGAGCGUAAACUCCUGUGAUCGGGAAAGCGGUACCUGAUGAAUAAGCACCGGCUAACUCCGUGCCAGCAGCCGCGGUAAUAC
rnacentral:rRNA from 1 species